rnacentral:ncRNA from 1 species
UUAUAAAGGUAAACCGGUUGAAAAGCCGGGACACAAAGCCAAAUGGGUCUAAGGUUUUUAAAACUAUGACAGCCGGUUGCUG